rnacentral:misc_RNA from 1 species
UGUGGGAGGGGGCUUGCUCCCGAUUGCUGAGUGUCAGUCACUGCAUCUGUUACUGACCCACUGCUAUCGGGGGCAAGCCCCCUCCCACA